CCUACGGGGGACAGCAGUAGGGAAUAUUGCUCAAUGGGGGAAACCCUGAAGCAGCAACGCCGCGUGGGGGAUGACGGUUUUCGGGUUGUAAACUCCUUUUGUUGGAGAAGAUAAUGACGGUAUCUAACGAAUAAGCACCGGCUAACUCCGUGACAGCAGCCGCGGUAAUACGGAGGGUGCAAGCGUUAAUCGGAAUCACUGGGCGUAAAGAGCGCGUAGGCGGGAUAGCAAGUCAGAUGUGAAAUCCUAUGGCUUAACCAUAGAACUGCAUUUGAAACUGUUAUUCUAGAGUGUGGGAGAGGUAGGUGGAAUUCCUGGUGUAGGGGUAAAAUGCGUAGAGAUCAAGAGGAAUACUGAUUGCGAAGGCGACCUGCUAGAACAUAACUGACGCUGAUGCGCGAAAGCGUGGGGAGCAAACAGGAUUAGAUACCCUUGUAGUC
rnacentral:rRNA from 1 species